GGCUGGUCCGAAGGUAGUGAGUUAUCUCACUUGAUUGUUCACAGUCAGUUACAGAUUGAACUCCUUGUUCUACUACUUUCCUCCCUCCUCACUACUACACUUUGACUAGGUCUUAA
rnacentral:Y_RNA from 1 species